GAGUUUGAUCUUGGCUCAGAUUGAACGCUGGCGGAAUGCUUUACACAUGCAAGUCGAGCGGCAGCGCGGGGCAACCUGGCGGCGAGCGGCGAACGGGUGAGUAAUACAUCGGAACGUGUCCUAUCGUGGGGGAUAACCAGUCGAAAGACUGGCUAAUACCGCAUGAGAUCGAAAGAUGAAAGCGGGGGACCGCAAGGCCUCGCGCGAUUGGAGCGGCCGAUGUCGGAUUAGCUAGUUGGCGGGGUAAAAGCCCACCAAGGCGACGAUCCGUAGCUGGUUUGAGAGAACGACCGCA
rnacentral:rRNA from 1 species